rnacentral:rRNA from 1 species
GAUGAACGCUAGCUACAGGCUUAACACAUGCAAGUCGAGGGGAAACGAUAUUGGAAGCUUGCUUCCGAUAGGCGUCGACCGGCGCACGGGUGAGUAACGCGUAUCCAACCUGCCCACCACUUGGGGAUAACCUUGCGAAAGUAAGACUAAUACCCAAUGAUAUCUCAAGAAGACAUCUGAAUGAGAUUAAAGAUUUAUCGGUGAUGGAUGGGGAUGCGUCUGAUUAGCUUGUUGGCGGGGUAACGGCCCACCAAGGCGACGAUCAGUAGGGGUUGUGAGAGGAAGGGCCCCCACAUUGGAACUGAGACACGGUCCAAACUCCGACGGGAGGCAGCAGUGAGGAAUAUUGGUCAAUGGGCGAGAGCCUGAACCAGCCAAGUAGCGUGCAGGAUGACGGCCCUAUGGGUUGUAAACUGCUUUUAUAAGGGAAUAAAGUGAGCCACGUGAGGCUUUUUGCAUGUACCUUAUGAAUAAGGACCGGCUAAUUCCGUGACAGCAGCCGCAGUAA